rnacentral:rRNA from 1 species
GACGAACCGUGCGACCGUUGUUCGGAAUCACUGGGCUUAAAGGGAGCGUAGGCGGACUUGUAAGUCAGUGGUGAAAUCUGUGGGCUUAACCCACAAACUGCCAUUGAUACUGCAGGUCUAGAGUACAGUUGCCGUUGGCGGAAUAUGACAUGUAGUGGUGAAAUACUUAGAUAUGUCAUAGAACACCGAUUGCGAAGGCAGCUAACGAAGCUGUAACUGACGCUGAGGCUCGAAAGUGCGGGGAUCAAACAGG